GGGCCGGUAGUCUAGUGGCUAAGAAACUUUUUCGAAAAAAGUUUCAUCAAAAAGAAAAAGUUUGUCCGCAAAUGACGCCACCCUUACAAGAACCCUUUAGAAAAGCGUUCACGUAAAAGGUUCGAAGACAGGUGGAGAUCGCAAGUUCGAAUCUUGCCCGGCCCA
rnacentral:tRNA from 1 species